AAUCGAAUGUAGUAUACGCGAUCAAAUGCAAUAGAGAUGGAACUACCGGACGCCAAAAAUUAUAUAUCGGAACCACCAAAAAUAAACUAAAAACUAGACUUGCAGGGCAUAAAUCUGACAUUAAAUCCAGGAGUAGAAACACACAUCAAAAAACGGCGUUAGCAGAACAUUGUGCAACAGAACACCAUGAGGCAGACAUAAGAGAAUUGGAGCUGCUGAAAAUGAGGUACAAACAAUACAAAAGAAACAGCAAAAACUUACCCAAGGGCCCAAAACAACUUGUGGCACUGGUGAAUUAUUAUUUACACGUAUUCCCAAUUGACCCGAACAACCCAAACCAAAUCCGUAUACUCGUCCACGAGAGGGUACUAGGGCCAGCGUGUGUCUCGUGCCACAAGCUAUUUGGGUAACAGUACUACCCAUAAGUUCCACAACCAUACGAGGUAAAACCUCAUUUCCAUUGCUGCCAUGUCCCAAUUGGCCAUAUCUGCCAGAGCCGCAUGUAAAGACACCGCCAUCAUUUGUAAGAAAAACGGAAAACUCAUCUCCACAUGUAAUAUAACGAACACAUAAACUGCGUAAUGUCUUCAAUUGUGUGGGAUAGCAUCUGUUAGCACAGUCAUUGAGGCCAAGUUGUCCACAAUCAUUUCUUCCCCAUCCAAAUACAGCUCCAGACUUGGAUAUAACAAAAGCAUGAUUACCUCCGCAUGCAAUAAAGGCAAUCGGAAUACCAUUGAGAGCAGUUAUAAGGCGAGGUACAUUUGAGUGCACAACGUCACCAGGAGAGCCAACGCCCAAUUGCCCAUAGAUAUUUGAACCCCAUGAAUAUAAUUCCCCACCUGUAAAACAAUAUUGAAAAUAAAUAAUUAUGACUAA